rnacentral:rRNA from 1 species
CCUACGGGAGGCUGCAGUGAGGAAUAUUGGUCAAUGGGCGGGAGCCUGAACCAGCCAAGCCGCGUGAGGGAAGAAGGUACAGCGUAUCGUAAACCUCUUUUGUCAGGGAACAAAGGCGGGGACUAGUCCCCGGAUGAGGGUACCUGAUGAAAAAGCAUCGGCUAACUCCGUGCCAGCAGCCGCGUUAAUACGGAGGAUGCGAGCGUUAUCCGGAUUUAUUGGGUUUAAGGGGUGCGCAGGGGGCCUGUUAAGUCAGCGGGAAAAGCCCGGGGCUCAACCCCGGCGAGCCGUUGAAACUGGCGGGCUGGAGUUGGAGAGAAGUACGCGGAAUGCGCGGUGUAGCGGUGAAAUGCUUAGAUAUCGCGCAGAACCCCGAUUGCGAAGGCAGCGUACCGGCUCCACACUGACGCUGAGGCACGAAAGCGUGGGUAUCGAACAGGAUUAGAUACCCUAGUAGUC